CUAGGAGAUGAGAGGUUUGAUUGGCUAGGAAAGUUCUGCCAGCUUCUGUGCUUAAAGUGGCCAGAGAUAGUCAGAAUGAAAUAACGAUAAAUGGCUGUCAUCUCCCCUAUCCCUCUACCCACGCCCACCCCUCCCACACCCACUCCUCCCACACCCUGUUUAUUGGUUCUGUAUCUCUAGAUAAAUCAAAUAAGGCAAUAAGACCAGCCAUGAGAUUUUGGAUAUAUAUGUAUAUCAACAUCAGCGAAGGAUUCGGAGAGGUGGCUCAGGGCUUAAGGACACUUGCCGCUCUCAUAGAAGACUGGAGUUUGGCUUCCAGCACCCACAUCAGGUGGCUCCUACCAUCUGUAACUGCAGAUCAAGGGGAUCUGAUACCCUCCUCUGGUCCCUGAAGAGCAGAACCCUGGGACUGCCCUCCAGAGAGCUGAGUAGAGGCACACUGUUCUCCGGUCCUCUGAAGGACAUUUAAUUCUUCAGUCAGAUCCUCAAGGCAAAGACAUCCACAGCAAGCUAAGGAAAACCACUGCUGAAGGUUCCACUGAGGACAACUUACAUCUCAUUCUCCAUGGACUGAGAAAGGGAGGUGCAGAGUCAUCCAUGGUGCCAGCGAAUUUACCACGAGCUAACAGUAGAAAGUGACCAUACACCCAGAUGAACAUGCUCCAAGUGAGAAGAUAAUUGAAUUAUGACAACAGAGUUGCAGAGGCUGUGUGGCUUAUGUACUCUUCUUACCAGUAACAAAAGGUUGCAUAGGAUAUUUCAAUGAUUUGUAGAAUUCCACCACCCUGUCUUUCUAAGCUUGUUUUCUCUCUGUCCCUCGAUUAUACGCAAUAUCUUGCUCUUGUUAUAGCUGGCGUAACAUGUGGUUGAGGACAUGUGGCUCUGGCUGUAGAAUUUUGUGCUGGUAGACUUAGCCUACCUCUGAAGCAGCCUCCUGAUAUUUGUCUCAUAGGCUUCUGAGUAUCUACAGCCACUUUCCUUGGUGGAUGCUUUACUUUUUGUCGGGGAUAGGACAGAAACAUGUGGUGGUGGGAAUCCAUUUCCUAAAGGAGUCAAGUUAGUGAACAUAGAGACAAGGCAGUUUUCACUUCUCUGGAGUUCCUAGUCAAUCCUGAAACCACCCCUAUUAAAGUCAUCAUUAAACAGA